rnacentral:lncRNA from 1 species
GUGGUGCCGAGCAGUACUGUGGCUGAGGCAUCGGGUUAUACUGCGGUAGUGGUGCCAAGUGAUACUGUGGAGGAGCAUGCUCGUACUGGGGUGGCUCGGGAUCCUCUCGCUGCAACGGUGACUCAACCUGUGGUAGUGGAGGAGGGUCAGGUAGCUCCCUUAUCUCCUCUCGACCUUGCUGGGUAGCAAUGAGUCUUUCCAGCAUCUCAAAUAUUCUAUCCACAUCUUCCUGAAGCGAACCAUCACGGGCUGCUCGGUUUAAUAGGGGUCUUUCUCUCCUAAUCUCUCUGCACCUGCAUUUCAUAAGGAAUGGUUGAGUAAUGAUUCAUUGGUUUGGUAUUUCUCUACGUAUUAUUGUGU